rnacentral:rRNA from 1 species
AGUUUAAAUUAGAAAGAAUUUAAUUUUGGUUCCGAUUGAACGUUAUUCAGUAGUUUUAAGACAUGCAAAUCGUUGUUUCCGAAAAUUAAUAAUUAAGUUCAAGAAAUUGGACAAAAAAAUAUUAGGAAAUAAGGUGUAAAGGUGAGGAUAGUAAAUAAGAUACCUUAUAGUCUCCAUAAAUAAGAGAUAUUUUUAAACUAUACGCUAAAAAUCAUUUUUAAAGGUUUAAAAAAUAAAAAUAAAUUAUUUUUAUAAGAAAGGAAUUUUUCUGCUAUAAGAUUCUAUUUAUUUUGAUUAGGUAGUUGGAAGGGUAACGGCCUCCCAAGCCCACGAUCAAUAGCUAAGCUUGAUAGAGCAGAUGGCCACAUUGGGAAUGAAAUCUCCCAAGUAGUUUAUAUACUACCAGCAGUCAAGAAUAUUAGUCAAUGCUCGCAAGAGUGAACUAGCUAACUGAAAUCAAUGAAAAUAAUAGAUUGAUAACGUAAGGGAAAAUAAUGAUAUUACCUUACUAUUAGUGUCGUCCAAAACUGGUGCCAGAAGACUCGGUAAGGCCAGAGACGCAAACGUUAAUCGUCUUAAUCAGGCGUAAAGGGUUUGUAGGCUGCUUUUAACUUAGAAUAUAAAACUAAAAGCUAGAAUCAAAUAGAGGUUAUAUUACAUAAUACUUAGAGUAGGUCUUAUAUCCUUAGAUACUAAGGGGAAUAUUAAGGGCGAAAGCUUUUUUACCAUUAAUGAUUGACGCUGAGAAACGAAGGUGAGGAAAGGAAAUAGGAUUAGAUACCCAAAAUACCCCUCUCUGUCAACGAUGAAUGGUAACUAUUAGUAAUAAAAUUAGUAGUAAUGUUAACACAAUAACCAUUCCGCCUUGUUACUACGACUGCAAAGUUAAAAACAAAAAAAUUAGUCGGUCUCGAAGCAAACGAAGUGAAGCAUGUUAUUUAAUACGAUAAUCCGCGUAAAACCUUACCAGUUCUUGCAUAAAAACUUUUUUGUUUUGUAUAUCUAAUAUAACAAAUAAUUAAGGAGUGUAUUAAUUAAUAUAAAGAAUAUAUUAUAUUUAUUUUUUAUAUAAAUACAUUUAUUUACAGGUGUUGCAUGGCUGUCUUCAGUCCGUAUUGUGAGAACUGAGGUUAAUUCCGCUAACGGACGAAAUCCCUGUUGUUAAUUAAAAAUUGAUAGUAUAAAUUUUAUACUAACUGACUUAACAAUUAAUGGUUCUGAUAGAGUACCAUUUGGGGCUAAGACAAGUCGUUAUGGCCCUUAUGAACUGGGCUAUAGACGUGCCACAAAAACUUUUACAAAGUGAUGCGAUACUGUUCCCUAUUUCUGAAUUUAUAUAAAAUUAAAAUUUAAAUGUUUAAUAACUAUAAUCCGUCAGCGGAAAAUUUAAAAUAAUUUUUAAUCGAAAGGUUUAGAAUUCAGUAAAUAUUUGACUCUUAUUUUUAAUUGUUAAAGUAAAGGGAAAGAAGGUGGAGCUAAUCAUUAAAUAAAGUUAAAUUAUUAAAAUUUAGUCGGAUUGUCGUCUGCAAUUCGGUGACAUGAAGAAGGAAUUUCGAGUAAUCGUUGAUCACUAGGCGCAACGGUGAAAUAAGCAUUCGUGAUGAACUAACUGUCUGUCACUGGGAAGAAGCUUAUAAUGGAAGAAACUGGAACAAAGUUAAAAUUUUACAAAGAGACAAAUAACUUAACAGGUAAAGCUGUAGUUGUUAACAGCUUUUGUUAGCCCUUUUCUAAUCAUUUUUGGUUUUAUAAGGAUUGUAGUUUCAAAAUUUAAAUAUUUUUAUAUUUAAUAGUUUAUUUACUAAACCUCUUUGUUAAAUUAAUUAGUUUUACUUAAUCCAUUUGAGUAACAUCUCAAAAGUCAUAGCAAGGUAGCUGUACUGGAAAGUGCUGCUGGAAAUUAACAAAUUUAAAC